UAAAAGGGCAAAGGAGAGUAAAUGUAUUUUCCAAUUUCUAUCUUUACUUAACUUUUUCCCUCCCCUAUUCUUAGCCAACGUUCCAAAGAGUGUAAAUCUUGGACUCUAGCAGUACCUAGUCUGCAUGUGUCUGGUGUCAACGAAGACGUGUCAGGCUCAGGUUUCAACGCUCUAUAAUCUGAUCAGUAAGAUCAAAACCAUCUCCUCCACCAACUUUUCAUCUCCUUCACUGCUCACUGUAAAUCCAAGAAAUCAUGAAAAACCAAGAAAAUGACCAGCAACACCACCACCAACUCGAAGAAAAUGACCAUAACCAACGACUACCAGAAGAAGAAGAAGAA
rnacentral:misc_RNA from 1 species